rnacentral:rRNA from 1 species
CCUACGGGGGGCAGCGGUGAGGAAUAUUGGUCAAUGGACGAGAGUCUGAACCAGCCAAGUAGCGUGAAGGAUGACUGCCCUAUGGGUUGUAAACUUCUUUUAUAUGGGAAUAAAAUGUUCCACGUGUGGGAUUUUGUAUGUACCAUAUGAAUAAGGAUCGGCUAACUCCGUGCCAGCAGCCGCGGUAAUACGGAGGAUCCGAGCGUUAUCCGGAUUUAUUGGGUUUAAAGGGAGCGUAGGUGGAUUGUUAAGUCAGUUGUGAAAGUUUGCGGCUCAACCGUAAAAUUGCAGUUGAAACUGGCAGUCUUGAGUACAGUAGAGGUGGGCGGAAUUCGUGGUGUAGCGGUGAAAUGCUUAGAUAUCACGAAGAACUCCGAUUGCGAAGGCAGUUCACUGGACUGCAACUGACACUGAGGCUCGAAAGUGUGGGUAUCAAACAGGAUUAGAUACCCCUGUAGUC